CAUGCUGGAAAAUUCAUUUUAUUGUAAUGUGUGACUUUGACCAAAGUUCAAAUAUAUUUCAAACAUAAUUUAAAUGGAUUUGAAAAUGGCUUGAAGGAAAAGAAUUUAAAGAAAAAAAACAAAAGAUGAAGCAACACCUCUCCCCCUAUCAGAUUUCGGCCUGAAAGGCCCAGCCAGCGCCGCGCCCUCCCUCUUUCUCCUUUGGGCCGAAGCCCGAUUCCCCUCCCCUUUCCACCGCGGCCCAGCACGCCCCGCGCGCGCCUCCCUCUCUCUCUCAGGCUGGCGAGCAGGCCCCACCCCUUCUUUCACCGCCAGCCGGGUCCCACGCGCACUACAAGAAAUGUGUCAUCUUAUGACGAUUAUGGCAUGACA
rnacentral:lncRNA from 1 species